rnacentral:rRNA from 1 species
AGCUCCAAUAGCGUAUAUUAAAGUUGCUGCAGUUAAAAAGCUCGUAGUUGCAUUUCCGAGGCAAGGGAUUAGUCCGACCUUUGGUGGGUAUUUAAUCCUCUUGCCUCGUCCUUGAGUGGUGCUUCUUGGUAUUAAGUUAUCGAGGAGAUAGCCGCUCAUCGUUUACUGUGAGAAAAUUAGAGUGUUCAAAGCAGGCUUAUGCCGUUGAAUAUAUUAGCAUGGAAUAAUAAGAUAGGACCUCGGUACUAUUUUGUUGGUUUGAGAACCAAGGUAAUGAUGAAUAGGGACAGUUGGGAGUAUUCGUAUUCAGUUGCCAGAGGUGAAAUUCUUAGAUUUACGGAAGACGAACUACUGCGAAAGCAUUUACCAAGGAUGUUUUCA